rnacentral:rRNA from 1 species
UACGGAGGGGGCUAGCGUUGUUCGGAAUUACUGGGCGUAAAGCGCACGUAGGCGGAUUGCUAAGUCAGGGGUGAAAUCCUGGAGCUCAACUCCAGAACUGCCUUUGAUACUGGCGAUCUUGAGUCCGGGAGAGGUGAGUGGAACUGCGAGUGUAGAGGUGAAAUUCGUAGAUAUUCGCAAGAACACCAGUGGCGAAGGCGGCUCACUGGCCCGGUACUGACGCUGAGGU